AUGCUCAAAAUUCUCCAAGCCAGGCUUCAGCAAUACGUGAACCGUGAACUUCCUGAUGUUCAAGCUGGUUUUAGAAAAGGCAGAAGAACCAGAGAUCAAAUUGCCAACAUCUGCUGGAUCAUGGAAAAAGCAAGGGAGUUCCAGAAAAACAUCUAUUUCUGCCUUAUUGACUAUGCCAAAGCCUUUGACUGUGUGGAUCACAAUAAACUGUGGAAAAUUCUGAAAGAGAUGGGAAUACCAGACCACCUGACCUGCCUCUUGAGAAAUCUGUAUGUAGGUCAGGAAGCAAUAGUUAGAACUGGACGUGGAGCAACAGACUGGUUCCAAAUAGGAAAAGGAGUACAUCAAGGCUGUAUAUUGUCACCCUGCUUAUUUAACUUAUAUGCAGAGUACACCAUGAGAAACGCUGGGCUGGAAGAAACACAAGCUGGAAUCAAGAUUGCUGGGAGAAAUAUCAAUCACCUCAGAUAUGCAGAUGACACCACCCUUAUGGCAGAAAGUGAAGAGGAACUAAAAAGCCUCUUGAUGAAAGUGAAAGUGGAGAGUGAAAAAGUUGGCCUAAAGCUCAACAUUCGGAAAAUGAAGAUCAUGGCAUCAGGUCCCAUCACUUCAUGGGAAAUAGAUGGAGAAACAGUGUCAGACUUUAUUCUUUUGGGCUUCAAAAUCAUUGCAGAUGGUGACUGCAGCCAUAAAAUUAAAAGACACUUACUCCUUGGAAGAAAAGUUAUGACCAACCUAGAUAGUAUAUUCAAAAGCAGAGGCAUUACUUUGCCGACAAAGGUCUGUCUAGUCAAGGCUCUGGUUUUUCCUGUGGUCAUGUAUGGAUAUGAGAGUUGGACUGUGAAGAAGGCUGAGCACCGAAGAAUUGAUGCUUUUGAACUGUGGUGUUGGAGAAGACUCUUGAGAGUUCCUUGGACUGCAAGGAGAUCCAACCAGUCCAUUCUGAAGGAGAUCAGUCCUGGGUGUUCAUUGGAAGGACUGAUGCUGAAGCUGAAACUCCAAUACUUUGGCCACCUCAUGCGAAGAGUUGACUCAUUGGAAAAGACUCUGAUGCUGGGAGAGAUUGGGGGCAGGAGGAGAAGGGGACGACAGAGGAUGAGAUGGCUGGAUGGCAUCACCGACUGGAUGGACAUGAGUCUGAGUGAACUCUGGGAGUUGGUGAUGGACAGGGAGGCCUGA
rnacentral:lncRNA from 1 species